rnacentral:rRNA from 1 species
AGCAGCCGCGGUAAUACGUAGGGGGCAAGMGUUGUCCGGAAUUAUUGGGCGUAAAGGGCACGCAGGCGGUUUCGUCAGUCCGAUGUGACAGGCCACGGCUCAACCGUGGAAGGCCAUUGGAAACUGCGAAACUUGAGGACAGAAGAGGAGAGUGGAAUUCCACGUGUAGCGGUGAAAUGCGUAGAUAUGUGGAGGAACACCAGUGGCGAAGGCGACUCUCUGGUCUGUACCUGACGCUGAGGUGCGAAAGCAUGGGGAGCAAACAGGAUUAGAUACCCUGGUAGUCCAUGCCGUAAACGCUGAGUGCUAGGUGUUAGGGGUUUCGAUACCCGUAGUGCCGAAGCUAACGCAUUAAGCACUCCGCCUGGGGAGUACGACCGCAAGGUUGAAACUCAAAGGAAUUGACGGGGGCCCGCACAAGCGGUGGAGCAUGUGGUUUAAUUCGACGCAACGCGAAGAACCUUACCAGAUCUUGACAUCUUCCGCUGCGCCUCGAGAGAGGCGGUUCCCCUUCGGGGGACGGAAUGACAGGUGGUGCAUGGUUGUCGUCAGCUCGUGUCGUGAGAUGUUGGGUUAAGUCCCGCAACGAGCGCAACCCCUAAUCUUAGUUGCCAGCAUUCAGUUGGGCACUCUAAGGUGACUGCCGGUGACAAACCGGAGGAAGGUGGGGAUGACGUCAAAUCAUCAUGCCCCUUAUGAUCUGGGCUACACACGUGCUAC